rnacentral:rRNA from 1 species
GACGAACGCUGGCGGCGUGCUUAACACAUGCCAGUCGAACGGAAAGGCCCUGCUUGCAGGGUACUCGAGUGGCGAACGGGUGAGUAACACGUGGGUGCUCUGCCCUGCACUUCGGGAUAAGCCUGGAAAACUGGGUCUAAUACCGGAUAGGAGCCAUUUUUAGUGUGAUGGUUGGAAAGUUUUUUCGGUGUAGGAUGAGCUCGCGGCCUAUCAGCUUGUUGGUGGGGUAAUGGCCUACCAAGGCGGCGACGGGGAGCCGGCCCGAGAGGGUGGACGGCCACAUUGGGACUGAGAGACGGCCCAGACUCCUACGGGAGGAAGCAGUGGGGAAUAUUGGACAAAGGGCGCAAGGCUGAGGCAGCGACGCCGCGUGGGGGAGGACUGCCUUGGGGUUGUAAACGGAUUUCGCGAGGGACGAAGCGGUUUGUGACGGUACCUAGAGAAGAAGCACCGGCUAACUACGUG